AUAAGUCUUCAGGGUGGGUAUUAUUCCCAACUGGCGGUAUAGUCCGCGAGCCUUAAUCGGCACGAUUUGGUGAAAUUCCAAAACCAACAGUAAAGUCUGGACGGAAGAAGAUUUUA
rnacentral:ncRNA from 2 species